rnacentral:rRNA from 1 species
UACGGGGGGGGGCAAGCGUUGUUCGGAAUUACUGGGCGUAAAGGGCUCGUAGGCGGCCAACUAAGUCAGACGUGAAAUCCCUCGGCUUAACCGGGGAACUGCAUCUGAUACUGGAUGGCUUGAGUUCGGGAGAGGGAUGCGGAAUUCCAGGUGUAGCGGUGAAAUGCGUAGAUAUCGGAAGGAACAUCAGUGGCGAAAGCGGCUUCCUGGACCAGCACCGACGUUCAGGCACGAAAGCGUGGGGAGCAAACAGG